CCUACGGGCGGCAGCAGUGAGGAAUAUUGGUCAAUGGACGAGAGUCUGAACCAGCAAAGUAGCGUGAAGGAUGACUGCCCUAUGGGUUGUAAACUUCUUUUAUAUGGGAAUAAAACGUUCCACGUGUGGGAUUUUGUAUGUACCAUAUGAAUAAGGAUCGGCUAACUCCGUGCCAGCAGCCGCGGUAAUACGGAGGAUCCGAGCGUUAUCCGGAUUUAUUGGGUUUAAAGGGAGCGUAGGUGGAUUGUUAAGUCAGUUGUGAAAGUUUGCGGCUCAACCGUAAAAUUGCAGUUGAAACUGGCAGUCUUGAGUACAGUAGAGGUGGGCGGAAUUCGUGGUGUAGCGGUGAAAUGCUUAGAUAUCACGAAGAACUCCGAUUGCGAAGGCAGUUCACUGGACUGCAACUGACACUGAGGCUCGAAAGUGUGGGUAUCAAACAGGAUUAGAUACCCCUGUAGUC
rnacentral:rRNA from 1 species